UACGGAGGAUGCGAGCGUUAUCCGGAUUUAUUGGGUUUAAAGGGUGCGUAGGCGGGAUGCCAAGUCAGCGGUAAAAUUGCGGGGCUCAACCCCGUCGAGCCGUUGAAACUGGCAGACUUGAGUUGGCGAGAAGUACGCGGAAUGCGCGGUGUAGCGGUGAAAUGCAUAGAUAUCGCGCAGAACUCCGAUUGCGAAGGCAGCGUACCGGCGCCCAACUGACGCUGAAGCACGAAGGCGUGGGUAUCGAACAGG
rnacentral:rRNA from 1 species